rnacentral:rRNA from 1 species
GGAGGUAUCAGAAGUGCGAAUGCUGACAUAAGUAACGAUAAAGCGGGUGAAAAGCCCGCUCGCCGGAAGACCAAGGGUUCCUGUCCAACGUUAAUCGGGGCAGGGUGAGUCGACCCCUAAGGCGAGGCCGAAAGGCGUAGUCGAUGGGAAACAGGUUAAUAUUCCUGUACUUGGUGUUACUGCGAAGGGGGGACGGAGAAGGCUAUGUUGGCCGGGCGACGGUUGUCCCGGUUUAAGCGUGUAGGCUGGUUUUCCAGGCAAAUCCGGAAAAUCAAGGCUGAGGCGUGAUGACGAGGCACUACGGUGCUGAAGCAACAAAUGCCCUGCUUCCAGGAAAAGCCUCUAAGCAUCAGGUAACAUCAAAUCGUACCCCAAACCGACACAGGUGGUCAGGUAGAGAAUACCAAGGCGCUUGAGAGAACUCGGGUGAAGGAACUAGGCAAAAUGGUGCCGUAACUUCGGGAGAAGGCACGCUGAUAUGUAGGUGAAGUCCCUUGCGGAUGGAGCUGAAAUCAGUCGAAGAUACCAGCUGGCUGCAACUGUUUAUUAAAAACACAGCACUGUGCAAACACGAAAGUGGACGUAUACGGUGUGACGCCUGCCCGGUGCCGGAAGGUUAAUUGAUGGGGUUAGCGGUAACGCGAAGCUCUUGAUCGAAGCCCCGGUAAACGGCGGCCGUAACUAUAACGGUCCUAAGGUAGCGAAAUUCCUUGUCGGGUAAGUUCCGACCUGCACGAAUGGCGUAAUGAUGGCCAGGCUGUCUCCACCCGAGACUCAGUGAAAUUGAACUCGCUGUGAAGAUGCAGUGUACCCGCGGCAAGACGGAAAGACCCCGUGAACCUUUACUAUAGCUUGACACUGAACAUUGAGCCUUGAUGUGUAGGAUAGGUGGGAGGCUUUGAAGUGUGGACGCCAGUCUGCAUGGAGCCGACCUUGAAAUACCACCCUUUAAUGUUUGAUGUUCUAACGUUGGCCCGUUAUCCGGGUUGCGGACAGUGUCUGGUGGGUAGUUUGACUGGGGCGGUCUCCUCCUAAAGAGUAACGGAGGAGCACGAAGGUUGGCUAAUCCUGGUCGGACAUCAGGAGGUUAGUGCAAUGGCAUAAGCCAGCUUGACUGCGAGCGUGACGGCGCGAGCAGGUGCGAAAGCAGGUCAUAGUGAUCCGGUGGUUCUGAAUGGAAGGGCCAUCGCUCAACGGAUAAAAGGUACUCCGGGGAUAACAGGCUGAUACCGCCCAAGAGUUCAUAUCGACGGCGGUGUUUGGCACCUCGAUGUCGGCUCAUCACAUCCUGGGGCUGAAGUAGGUCCCAAGGGUAUGGCUGUUCGCCAUUUAAAGUGGUACGCGAGCUGGGUUUAGAACGUCGUGAGACAGUUCGGUCCCUAUCUGCCGUGGGCGCUGGAGAACUGAGGGGGGCUGCUCCUAGUACGAGAGGACCGGAGUGGACGCAUCACUGGUGUUCGGGUUGUCAUGCCAAUGGCACUGCCCGGUAGCUAAAUGCGGAAGAGAUAAGUGCUGAAAGCAUCUAAGCACGAAACUUGCCCCGAGAUGAGUUCUCCCUGACUCCUUGA